rnacentral:misc_RNA from 1 species
AAAACAACGACUCAGGCUGCGUGACUCCUACAUCACAACAUUGAACGUGUGUCAAGCCUACACCCUAAAGCGUAUUCGUGACCCAGACUACAGUGUCACACCAAGGCCUCACAUUUCCAAGGAAUACAUGGAAGCAAAACCAGCUACAGAACUUGUGAACCUGAACCCGACUAGCGAAUAUGCACCUGGCUUGGAGGACACACUCA